AAAGGGUAAAAUGUACGGUUAUUUUUCAUUCGUUUUGGGGGGCGGGGUUGCUCACCCCUCCCCGGUUAACUGCUAGCGACUGACAGGCGGGGGACGGCCGAGACAGACAAAGAGAAGCCGAAGACUCUGGGGUCUUCAGGAGAGGGUCGCACGAGCUGAGUCGGGGACAGACAGGUGGAGUUUCCAGAGCCUGCACCACCCGGGACACUGCUGGCAGCUCUCUAGGCCCUAGGUUCGGGUCUCGGAACUUUGUUUGGGGUGCAGGAUUCCGAUCCUGGCGGGAAGGCGGGAGAGGGACGGAGGGCGGGGGGCUAAGCGGGAA
rnacentral:lncRNA from 1 species